rnacentral:misc_RNA from 1 species
CAGCAAGCUUUCUGGCAAGGUACAAGAAGGGCUUCUCAAAGUUGUAAUUACUCUUUGCAGAGAUUUCGUAAUACUGAAGAUUUUUCUUCCUGUGGAAGGUGACCUGCUUUGCUUUAACCUGUCUGUUUUUCACGUCGACCUUGUUUCCACACAAUACGAUGGGUAUGUUCUCACAAACCCUGCAGAGAUCACGAUGCCAUGUUGGGACAUUUUUGUAUGUUAAACGAGCAGUGACAUCAAACAUGAUAAUGGCACAUUGCCCAUGAAUAUAGUAACCAUCUCUAAGUCCACCAAACUUCUCCUGUCCAGCAGUAUCCCAGCAGUAAAACCUUAUCUUUCCAUAGUUUGUAAAGAAGUCCAGUGGAUGAACUUCAACUCCGAUUGUCGGUUCAUAUUUCUUCUCGAACUCUCCAGUAAGAUGACGUUUAACAAAGGUUGUCUUCCCUGUUCCACCAUCUCCGACAAUUACAAGCUUGAAGCUAGGGUAAUCUACGGUGGCCUGAUUUGGUAGCGCCAUCGGUAAUGUCUAUAUGCAACUGAAGAUUAAGAAGAUGAAGAGAACUGCGAUUUCAGACGAACAGAGGUCAG